rnacentral:rRNA from 1 species
AUUGAACGCUGGCGGCAGGCCUAACACAUGCAAGUCGGGCGGGCGGCGGACGGGUGAGUAGUGUAUUGAGAUCUGCCUGAUGGAGGGGGAUAACUGCUGGAAACGGUGGCUAAUACCGCAUACCAUCAGUUGGACCCAUAUGGGAUUAGCUGGUAGGUGAGGUAACGGCUCACCAAGGCGACGAUCCCUAGCUGGCCUGAGAGGAUGAUCAGCCACACUGGGACUGAGACACGGCCCAGACUCCUACGGGAGGCAGCAGUGGGGAAUAUUGUACAAUGGGCGAAAGCCUGACGCAGCCAUGCCGCGUGUAUGAAGAAGGUCUUCGGGUUGUAAAGUACUGUCAGUCGGGAGGCGUUACCGACCGAAGAAGCACCGGCUAACUCCGUGCCAGCAGCCGCGGUAAUAC